rnacentral:rRNA from 1 species
GAUGAACGCUGGCGGCGUGCCUAAUACAUGCAAGUCGAGCGAACGGACGAGAAGCUUGCUUCUCUGAUGUUAGCGGCGGACGGGUGAGUAACACGUGGAUAACCUACCUAUAAGACUGGGAUAACUUCGGGAAACCGGAGCUAAUACCGGAUAAUAUUUUGAACCGCAUGGUUCAAAAGUGAAAGACGGUCUUGCCGUCACUUAUAGAUGGAUCCGCGCUGCAUUAGCUAGUUGGUAAGGUAACGGCUUACCAAGGCAACGAUGCAUAGCCGACCUGAGAGGGUGAUCGGCCACACUGGAACUGAGACACGGUCCAGACUCCUACGGGAGGCAGCAGUAGGGAAUCUUCCGGAAUGGGCGAAAGCCUGACGGAGCAACGCCGCGUGAGUGAUGAAGGUCUUCGGAUCGUAAAACUCUGUUAUUAGGGAAGAACAUAUGUGUAAGUAACUGUGCACAUCUUGACGGUACCUAAUCAGAAAGCCACGGCUAACUACGUG